GGGGAGUGGCAGACGGGUGAGUAACGCGUGGGAAUCUACCGUGCCCUGCGGAAUAGCUCCGGUUAAACUGGUAAUUAAUACCGCAUACGCCCUACGGGGGAAAGAUUUAUCGGGGUCUGAUGAGCCCGCGUUGGAUUAGCUAGUUGGUGGGGUAAAGGCCUACCAAGGCGACCAUCCAUAGCUGGUCUGAGAGGGGUUCAGCCAUAUUGGGACUGAGACACGGCCCAAACUUAUACGGGAGGCAGCAGUGGGGAAUAUUGGACAAUGGGCGCAAGCCUGAUCCAGCCAUGCCGCGUGAGUGAUGAAGGCCUUAGGGUUGUAAAGCUCUUUCACCGGAGAAGAUAAUGACGGUAUCCGGAGAAGAAGCCCCGGCUAACUUCGUGCC
rnacentral:rRNA from 1 species